GUGCUCAAUUUGGCAGCACAUACACUAAAACUAAAGCAAUACAGGGAAGAUUUAGUAUGGCCCCUGCAUAAAGAUGACAGACAGAUUUGUGACGUGUUCCACAUGAAC